rnacentral:rRNA from 1 species
UACGUAGGGGGCAAGCGUUGUCCGGAUUUAUUGGGCGUAAAGAGCGUGUAGGCGGCUGGGUAGGUCCGUUGUGAAAACUCGAGGCUCAACCUCGAGACGCCGAUGGAAACCCUCCAGCUAGAGUCCGGAAGAGGAGAGUGGAAUUCCUGGUGUAGCGGUGGAAUGCGCAGAUAUCAGGAAGAACACCUAUGGCGAAGGCAGCUCUCUGGGACGGUACUGACGCUGAGACGCGAAAGCGUGGGGAGCGAACAGG